rnacentral:rRNA from 1 species
CCAGACUCCUACGGGAGGCAGCAGUGGGGGAUAUUGCACAAUGGGGGGAACCCUGAUGCAGCGACGCCGCGUGGGUGAAGGAGUGCUUCGGCAUGUAAAGCCCUAUCGGCAGGGAAGAAGCAAGACGGUACCUGACUAAGAAGCCCCGGCUAACUACGUGCCAGCAGCCGCGGUAAUACGUAGGGGGCAAGCGUUAUCCGGAUUUACUGGGUGUAAAGGGAGCGUAGACGGCAGUGCAAGUCUGGAGUGAAAGGCGGGGGCUCAACCCCCGGACUGCUCUGGAAACUGUACGGCUGGAGUGCAGGAGAGGUAAGUGGAAUUCCUAGUGUAGCGGUGAAAUGCGUAGAUAUUAGGAGGAACACCAGUGGCGAAGGCGGCUUACUGGACUGUAACUGACGUUGAGGCUCGAAAGCGUGGGGAGCAAACAGGAUUAGAUACCCGCGUA